rnacentral:rRNA from 1 species
GAUGAACGCUGACAGAAUGCUUAACACAUGCAAGUCAACUGUGGCGGACGGGUGAGUAACGCGUAAAUAACUUGCCUCACAGUUAGGGUCAACAUUUGGAAACGCAUGCUACUACCUGAUACUGUGAGAGAGCUUUGCGUCCCAUUAGCUAGUUGGAGAGGUAACGGCCCACCAAGGCCAUGAUGGGUAGCCGGCCGGAGAGGGUGAUCGGCCACAAGGGUACUGAGACACGGCACUUACUCAUACGGGUGGCAGCAGUGGGGAAUAUUGGACAAUUGACCAAAGUGUGAUCCAGCAAUUCUGUGUGCACGAUGAAGUUUUCUGAAUGUAAAGUGCUUUCAGUUGGGAAUCGGUACCAACAGAAGAAGUGACGGCUAAAUACGUGCCAGCAGCCGCGGUAAUAC